CUUGAAAAGUUAUAAAUUUUUUUAUUUAUCCCUCUUAGAAAAUUAAUACAAAAAAUAUCUUUUUAACAUUUCAAGUUCUUUCAAAUAUAUGUUUAGAGUUGGAUCCUAUUAGUGAACUAUUAGAAACAGCCGUUAUCUCUGUAAAAUUAUUAUUUUACACUUUCAAAUAUAUUUUUGUUUGCUCUUAAGUUAGGAAAAAAAGAGAUAUUUUCACUUUUUUUAACUCCGGUAGAAAUCUAAUCCGUAUUUAAUCCAACAUGACUUAACAGAUACUAAGAACGAAAUUAUUUUUGAAUAAUGAAAAAAUAUACGAGAGGCAUAUUUAAAA
rnacentral:lncRNA from 1 species